rnacentral:tRNA from 1 species
GGAUUGUGGCUCAGUGGUAGAGCGCUCACCUAGCACGCAUGAGGCCCUGAGUUCAAUCCUCAGUACCA